rnacentral:rRNA from 1 species
UACGGAGGGGGCUAGCGUUGUUCGGAAUUACUGGGCGUAAAGCGCACGUAGGCGGAUUCGUAAGUCAGGGGUGAAAUCCCGGGGCUCAACCUCGGAACUGCCUUUGAUACUGCGGGUCUUGAGUCCGAUAGAGGUGGGUGGAAUUCCUAGUGUAGAGGUGAAAUUCGUAGAUAUUAGGAAGAACACCGGUGGCGAAGGCGGCCCACUGGAUCGGUACUGACGCUGAGGUGCGAAAGCGUGGGGAGCAAACAGG